GACGAACGCUGGCGGCGUGCUUAACACAUGCAAGUCAAACGGAAAGGCCCUGCUUUUGUGGGGUGCUCGAGUGGCGAACGGGUGAGUAACACGUGAGUAACCUGCCCUUGACUUUGGGAUAACUUCAGGAAACUGGGGCUAAUACCGGAUAGGAGCUCCUGCUGCAUGGUGGGGGUUGGAAAGUUUCGGCGGUUGGGGAUGGACUCGCGGCUUAUCAGCUUGUUGGUGGGGUAGUGGCUUACCAAGGCUUUGACGGGUAGCCGGCCUGAGAGGGUGAUCGGCCACAUUGGGACUGAGAUACGGCCCAGACUCCUACGGGAGGCAGCAGUGGGGAAUAUUGCACAAUGGGCGGAAGCCUGAUGCAGCAACGCCGCGUGCGGGAUGACGGCCUUCGGGUUGUAAACCGCUUUCGCCUGUGACGAAGCGUGAGUGACGGUAAUGGGUAAAGAAGCACCGGCUAACUACGUG
rnacentral:rRNA from 1 species